AACAAACGCUGGCGGCGUGCCUAAUACAUGCAAGUCGAACGGGGAAAGUAGCAAUAUGAGUACUAGUGGCGCACGGGUGAGUAACGCGUGGAUAAUCUGCCUUGAAGAGGGGGAUAACUAGUCGAAAGAUUAGCUAAUACCGCAUAAGACCACAAGAACUGAGGUUCAAGGGGUCAAAGGUUUUUCGCUUCAAGAUGAGUCCGCGUAAGAUUAGCUAGUUGGUGAGGUAAUGGCUCACCAAGGCAACGAUCUUUAACUGGUCUGAGAGGAUGAUCAGUCACACUGGAACUGAGACACGGUCCAGACUCCUACGGGAGGCGGCAGUAGGGAAUAUUGCACAAUGGAGGAAACUCUGAUGCAGCGACGCCGCGUGAGUGAUGAAGGCCUUCGGGUCGUAAAGCUCUGUCGCAGGGGAAUAACACAAUGAAUGUACCCUGUAAGAAAGGAUCGGCUAACUUCGUG
rnacentral:rRNA from 1 species